rnacentral:rRNA from 1 species
GACGAACGCUGGCGGCGUGCCUAACACAUGCAAGUCGAGCGAGUGAAUCUCCUUCGGGAGUGAAGCUAGCGGCGGACGGGUGAGUAACACGUGGGCAACCUGCCUCAUAGAGGGGAAUAGCCUUUCGAAAGGAAGAUUAAUACCGCAUAAGAUUGUAGCUUCGCAUGAAGUAGCAAUUAAAGGAGCAAUCCGCUAUGAGAUGGGCCCGCGGCGCAUUAGCUAGUUGGUGAGAUAACGGCUCACCAAGGCGACGAUGCGUAGCCGACCUGAGAGGGUGAUCGGCCACAUUGGGACUGAGACACGGCCCAGACUCCUACGGGAGGCAGCAGUGGGGAAUAUUGCACAAUGGGGGAAACCCUGAUGCAGCAACGCCGCGUGAGUGAUGACGGCCUUCGGGUUGUAAAGCUCUGUCUUCAGGGACGAUAAUGACGGUACCUGAGGAGGAAGCCACGGCUAACUACGUGCCAGCAGCCGCCGUAACAC